GUUCUACAGCUUGUGGUGGAUCAUAGAACACAUGAUAUCAACCAAGUUUAAAGGAAGCAUGUAUAGCCACAAUAGAAAGAUUUAAGGAUUGUGAGAAACCAAAUAUGACAAAUCAGAAUAAAUUCCAUGGGAGUGUGAAAAAAAAGAAUAGUAGAGUGUUAUCCUCAGGACUUUUUUCAGACUUCCAUUAAGUCAGGAAAUACUGUUGAACUGACAAAAUUAACAAAAAUCAUGAUUCUCAAAAAUCUAAGGAAGAUGUGCGAGUUAAGACUAAGACGGAUUUUAGGAGUUUUGAUGACAAAGAAUCAACCAUUGGAAAUAUGGCUCUUUGAACUUGGAUCUCAUUGUUGAUGCAUGCAAGAUGGUGGGCUAAAGAAGAAAACCAGGACAAAAGAAAAUUCCUAGUGUUCAUCAGAAAAAAUAAUCAUGCAGCCAUUUUGAGUGCUUGAAUGUCCAACUGAGAGAGCCAGCCAGUUCGAAAAAUAUUUCUUGGAAGUUAAACAAAUUCUGCUGUGACAAUUGAAUUAAAGUUUAAAAAGUACAUUUAAAAACAUUCUGAUUCAUCUAUAAGUGAGACUAGAUUGCCUUUGACAGUUGCCAGUGGAAUUCAGAUCUUCUAAAUUGUACCAGUAUUAAUAAAUUGAAGUGAGUUGCCUUAAAAAUAACAUUUGUAUAUGGUGUACAUUACUUCAAGAAGAUAUAGCACACCUGUUUAAACAGUGAGGUCCAUAGCUAAACAUGGAUAUGGAAUUUAGCUCACCUGAUCCAAAGGCUCAAUUGCACAAUUCUGAUAAAAAGAAGUUUCUGGUAUCCAACAAUGCAACAUUUAUGUUUUGACUGUUUGUCCUCCAUUAACUUUUAACAUUUUCUUUUUUUUCUAACAUUUGGUCAAUGUAAACCACAUUUGGUACAAUGUAUCUCUGCUUAAAAGGAAUAAAGCUUAUUCAAAUAAA